GACGAACGCUGGCGGCGUGCCUAAUACAUGCAAGUAGAACGCUGAAGAGGGGAGCUUGCUCUUCUUGGAUGAGUAGCGAACGGGUGAGUAACGCGUAGGUAACCUGCCUUGUAGCGGGGGAUAACUAUUGGAAACGAUAGCUAAUACCGCAUAACAAUGGAUGACACAUGUCAUUUAUUUGAAAGGGGCAAUUGCUCCACUACAAGAUGGACCUGCGUUGUAUUAGCUAGUAGGUGAGGUAACGGCUCACCUAGGCGACGAUACAUAGCCGACCUGAGAGGGUGAUCGGCCACACUGGGACUGAGACACGGCCCAGACUCCUACGGGAGGCAGCAGUAGGGAAUCUUCGGCAAUGGGGGCAACCCUGACCGAGCAACGCCGCGUGAGUGAAGAAGGUUUUCGGAUCGUAAAGCUCUGUUGUAAGUCAAGAACGAGUGUGAGAGUGGAAAGUUCACACUGUGACGGUGGCUUACCAGAAAGGGACGGCUAACUACGUG
rnacentral:rRNA from 1 species